rnacentral:rRNA from 1 species
AGUGAACGCUGGCGGUAGGCCUAACACAUGCAAGUCGAACGGCAGCACAGUAAGAGCUUGCUCUUACGGGUGGCGAGUGGCGGACGGGUGAGGAAUACAUCGGAAUCUACUUUUUCGUGGGGGAUAACGUAGGGAAACUUACGCUAAUACCGCAUACGACCUACGGGUGACAGCAGGGGAUCUUCGGACCUUGCGCGAUUGAAUGAGCCGAUGUCGGAUUAGCUAGUUGGCGGGGUAAAGGCCCACCAAGGCGACGAUCCGUAGCUGGUCUGAGAGGAUGAUCAGCCACACUGGAACUGAGACACGGUCCAGACGCCUACUGGAGGCAGCAGUGGGGAAUAUUGGACAAUGGGCGCAAGCCUGAUCCAGCCAUACCGCGUGGGUGAAGAAGGCCUUCGGGUUGUAAAGCCCUUUUGUUGGGAAAGAAAAGCAGCAGGUUAAUACCCCGCUGUUCUGACGGUACCCAAAUAAUAAGCACCGGCUAACUUCGUG